UCUAAUGGGUUCAAGGAUGGAGUUGAUUCCUCCAUCUUUCUUCUCAACAACAUCCAUUUCUAUCUCAAUCUCAAUCACCUUCUCCCUUCUCCCUCUCCCUCUCCCUCUCCUUCUCCUUCUCCACUCCAUAAUCCCAACUUUUUAUUAUUCUAAUUUAUUCCCUCAAUACCCUAAAACCUAUUAGGUUUUCCUUUGUUUUCUUUUUAACAAAAACCUUUUUGUUCAAAUUAAAAUCUCCUUCUCGUUGAAAUUUAUUUUGUUUGUUUGGAUGAAGAACCAAAUAAAAACCCCUGUAUUUGGAUUUGCAUGUUCCUAGAAACAAUUCAGUUUCAUUUUCCCUCAAUUUCAGAACAGAACACAAGAACAAGAACAAGACAAACAAGAAGCAAACUUUAUAGAGAUUCCAAACAUGGCUGCAUCUUCUUCCUCAGUUCCACUUUUUGGAGUUCGAGAAGAAGGUCAGAUGAGAGGUCAGCAGCCACCGCAACCACAACCGCCGCCGCCGUCAGCUCCCUCUAAUUCAUCCACUGCUCUUCCAACUCCUCCUCCCCAGAAGAAAAAGAGAAACCAACCAGGAACUCCAAAUCCAGAUGCAGAAGUGAUAGCGUUAAGUCCAAAGACAUUAAUGGCAACAAACAGAUUCAUAUGUGAAGUAUGCAACAAAGGGUUUCAAAGAGAGCAAAAUCUACAACUACAUAGAAGAGGACAUAAUUUACCAUGGAAAUUAAAGCAGAAAAGCACAAAAGAACCAAAAAGAAAAGUGUAUUUAUGCCCAGAACCAACAUGCGUUCACCAUGACCCGUCAAGAGCACUUGGGGAUUUAACAGGUAUCAAGAAACACUACUCACGAAAGCACGGAGAAAAGAAGUGGAAGUGCGAUAAAUGCUCUAAACGUUACGCCGUUCAAUCCGACUGGAAAGCACAUUCCAAAACCUGUGGCACUAGAGAAUAUCGUUGCGAUUGUGGCACUCUCUUCUCCAGAAGGGACAGUUUCAUUACACAUAGAGCGUUUUGUGAUGCAUUGGCACAAGAAAGUGCAAGACACCCUCCAAAUUUGGGGACAGCCAUUGGAAGCCAUUUAUAUGGAGGUAAUAGCAAUGUGGGUUUGACGUUAUCACAAGUCCCUCAACUCUCUUCUCUUCAAGACCAUUCCAACAUCACCCAAUCACCGCACGACGUCCUUCGUCUUGGCGGCGGUCGAACCGGGCAAUUCACUCAUCUCCUCCCUCCUUCUAUUGGCUCUUCCUUCCGACCCCCACCGCAACAAGCAAUGCCAUCAUCCAAUGCGGCCUUCUUCGGCCUGUCGGACCAAACUAACCAAAAUAGCUUCCAUGAAGAUCAUCAUCAAAGCCAAUCCCAGCAAGGGUUGUUCGGAAACAAGCCUUUUCAUGGGCUAAUGCAAUUCCCUUCUGAUAUCCAAACCCAUGCAAAUAACAACAGCAAUUCUGCUUCAAAUCUCUUCAAUUUGAGCUUCAUUUCAAAUCCCACUGGUGAUAAUACUUCCAAUAUGAACAAUAACAAUGACACCAACACUAACAAUAGCAACAGCAGUAGCAACAACAACAACAAUCUUCCAUCCUCUUUGUUAAACCAAUUCAACGGAACGAACAAUGGCAACAACGACGGUCCUGCGUCUAACAUUUUUGCUGUUAACAUAAUGGGAGAUCAAAUCAAUUCAGCUGCAGUCCCCUCGCUCUACAGCAACACCGCCCCGGGAGGAUGUAGUAGCGGUACAAGCGGAGGAGGAGCAAUCCCACAUAUGUCCGCAACAGCACUGCUACAAAAAGCAGCACAAUUAGGCUCAACAACGUCAAGUAGCAAUACUACAGCGACAUUGCUACGCACAUUUGGAAGCUCCUCGACCUCAAGCGGAAAGGCAUCAGAUAGAACGCUCUUCCCACCAAGUUAUGGCGGAGUAGUAUUCAGUGAAAACGAGAGUAAUCUCCAAGACCUGAUGAACUCAUUCGCAAACGCGAGCUCAGGGAGCGGGAUGUUCGGGUCGUUUGGGGUGGAAAGCUUAGAGGAUCCAACGAAGUUACAACAGAAUUUAAGCACAGUGAGUAUGGGAGGUGGGACAGAUAGGUUAACAAGAGACUUCUUAGGGGUGGGACAAAUCGUAAGAAGUAUGAGCGGAGGUGGUGGCGGUGGCGGUUAUUCACAGAGAGAACACAAACAAGGGGGGCAAGGGAUAGUUAUGGAGGGUAAUGAGAGCAAUACGGCGCCGUCAAGCAAUGCGUUUGGUGGUGGAAAUGGAAACUACCAGUGAAGAAAAGAGAAGAAGGAAGAGAAGAAAAAAAAGUACAGACAGAAACAGAAUUUUAUAUAUUUAUUUAUCUAUUAUGGGUAUCAAACUCAACGGAAUUCAAAUAGACAUCCGAUCGAAAAUUAGAAUCUGACUCAAGAAUGAAAAAUUCAACAAACACCAUUUUAAUGGACAUGUUUGAGAAUUCCAAAUUGAAGUGAGGAAGAGAUUUUACAAUCUUGGUAAGAUUUUUCAAAUGCAACAAAUAUCAAUGCCUGCCAACUUCAAUCGGUGAUAAAAAAAAAAAAAAACAAUAUCAGGUAGUUUUUUUUUCUUUUUCCUUGUAAUUUUACCAUGAGAGGAAGGACAACCAGAUAGAGAUAGUUUUUUUUUUUUUUUUUGAUCUUUUUCAACUAAGAUGUAUUAAUUCCAUAUCUUUUCUGGGCGACCAAUGAGCUUUUUUCUUUUUUCUUUUUUCUUUUUUCUUCUUUUAUAAUUAAUUUUUAGUCUAUCUAGCUAGACUAGGCUAAAAUAUCCUCUUCUUAUAGUUCCAUAGACAUUUGCAAAGUCAAUGAUCCAUUUCUUGAUUACUCUUA